CUUUGAGGAAUGCGGUAGCUACAUUUUAAUUUCACUUUUAAAUAAUUCCAAAACUCCCAGCAUUCAUUUCUUAUAUUACAGCAUCCUUUCUCAGAAGUAAUUUCUCAUGCCGUAUAACCUGGAAGGUGACUGGAGUUACAGAAGCAGAUGAAAGAGGGCAUUAUCCACUGUCUUUCUUCCUAAGAAAGUAUUUCUUCAGUUAACCGAGUCUUGAGGAAUCGUUCAACUCUGAAUUACAGUAUUUGUGGAACAGAGCAAUCUUAAUUUAUGUGACAGGUUGUGCAAAGAUAGUAGGCAAUAUCUUUUUUUUUUUUUUUUUUUUACUUACUCAUUAAAUAGCUGGAUGUUGAGUUAAAUAAAUAAUCAAAGAGUAUUACAAGGUCAAAUAGCUAAUUCUCUCUCAGAUAAUACAAGGUACUUGGCACUAAUGAGCUGCACCUCACCAGACUUUUAUGGGAUAAGCUUCAUUUUGUGAAAUUUAUUGCUCUGAAAUGUCUGGCAAGUGAUGCUGAAUAUUAGUUGCAGUUAGAAGAAUUGAAGAAUGAUCACUGAGAAGGGAUGGCCAACAAAUUCUUCUCUUUUGAGGUGGCCUGUAAGUUACAGAAAUGUAGGGUUCUAAUGGGACUUUCACACCCAGACACUGACUGUAAUUCCAAGCCUUAUUAAUGAAAGUCAGCAUUUGCAGAGAAGCAUGGUUAGAGCUAUGGAACUCACAGUGUAUCUAUAUCCUCCAUUUCCAGAAACCAGGAAAAUCGGGUACUGUAGAUCACACAAUCUAUCCAUAGGGAAGUCAAACACAGACUUUGAUUGAGCAGAGUCACCAUGGAGUAACUAUUGCAUUAUACUGUUUCUCAUUGCGUUUAAGGAAUGCAUGUGUGUUAUACUUUUGCUGAAUAAUUUUGCUGGGGUAAUUACUGAAUUUUCUCUGCUUUUGGUGUUGGACCUGCUGGAGGCUGGAGAUGAUGGUGCUGGUGGAACAGCACAUUUGGGGAGCAGAGUUAAGCUUGUUGUGACUCUUUUCCUAUGAACCAUAGGCAUGUGAAGGGCUGAGGUAUGGGAUGGCUGUGAGUUGUGGAGGCCAUGGGCCUGGGAUUUUCUGUGUGUGGCAAGGGGACAUAUGAAGCUAUCUUCCAGAGGAGUUGCUGCAGGACCUCAUCCUGGCUCUCAUCCACCCAUGCCUCCACAGAGGUUGUGCCUGAGAAGACCCACAAGGCUAUGUCUCCAUGUAGCAACAAGAAGUGCACUGCUCUGAGGACCAGCCCUCUGGAUGGAGACUGUCUCUGCUACAACAGGCUAAACCUCUGCCCACAGCCAUGUGCUGUCUUCACCUGAUGCCAUCUGUGGUUGUAGGGCACUGAGCUGCCCCUCUUCCCUCUGUGGGAUGCUAGCAGAUAGCCUGAGAUCCGCCAGGGCCAUCUGUGUGGACGUCCUGUGAUCCUGAUUUAGGAUGUUCCCGCUGUCCAAGGCUCGACCCCUCUCCUUCUCCACAGCACUCAGGAAUGCCUCACAAGAGGCAAGUUUAUUUACUCAGUCCUGCUAUGCUCCAUCAAACAGACCUCAUCAGGAGAAGGUGGAGGGCCCCAGUCAUCAGCCUGGAAGGAAAUCCUGACUGCAGUAGCAAUGCUAUGCAGGGAAGUGCAAACCUGCCAAGCUUUACUUACCUUAGCCCAAUGUGUGGUGAGGCAUGCUGAUAGAUGAGUGGUACCGACAUGUUUUGGAGACUGGCCAGGGGAAACUCAUCACCUGGCAGGAGCAGGACAUGCAUGCCCCUGCCACCAUGUGGUUCAUGGGCCCCAAGCCCCUUGGAGUGACAUGAGACUGGGAGCAAAGAAAGUGUGCAGAGCAGCCAUGGGUGAAGUACAUGCAGCUGGAGACAUCUCUCAGGGGAAGAGGAACAGGGGAGAGCUGUGAGUGAUGAUUAACUGUAGCCAUUAAACUCAGAAAACAGUGACAUAACUUUGAGAGCGUGAGUGUACCAUCUGAACUAUCCUAGAAGAAUGUCAAGUGCCGUGAAAAUAACACCAUAUGUUCAGAGAGCCUGAUCUGGAGGUUUCCAAACCGCAGAGCUGGAUUUUGCUGGGAUACUUUGCAGAUGCAGCUCAUAGGGUGCCAGACCCUGAGUCUGUCCUUUGCAUCCCUUCUUGGGGCAGUCAUGCCAAAGCCUCUCUGGAACCACGUGGACUGGCAGACAGGUGGAUACCAUCAUGGAGCUAUGUGUUUUCUGCAGAAGCCCACACAGCUUGUGAAUCAGUAGCCAUACUGUUGUGCUACUGUGCCACCACGCAUCUGGAUGGGAUCCCAUGACUUCCCCCAGCAGAACCUGGAUUCAGGUUCUGGAGGAGCUGAGCCAGCAGGCUGACACUGCCCACUGCAUUGCAAACCAAAAAAACACCCCAAUACCCCUUUAAAAGUCGUAUUUCAGGCCCCCAUAAAGAAGCCUAUAAGGAAGUCUGAAUUAAAAGGAUUGUUUUGUUUGGAGAUUUCCCGACAGGACUGAGGCUGUAUAUGCAAGACAGACUCAAAACUUUGGCAGUUCUGUUACAAUCAACUCAAAGUUUGAUAUUUUUGAUCAAGUAGUGCUGGGGAGUAGAUGUGUAGAUUUGGGUGCCACAGCUGCACACCCAGUUGUGUGGUGCUGCCACUUGGAAGUGGGGGAGCAGAGGGAAAAGCAUGCCUGCUGCCACUGUGAAAAUUAAUAUUUCUGCAAUUCACCUGCAAGAAACAUACCUUGUCAAGUGCUGCAUUUGAGAAGUAAGUAUUUCUCCCUUUGAGGCUUUGAAAGAAAGGACUUCAUUGAAAGGAAAGAAAAGAAAUCCUGGUGAUUCAGCUGAGCAGAGUGCAAUGUACUCAGAGAAAAUAAGAAAGGAAUGAAAGUGUUAGCAGAGUCUUGGUUAUGGCAGUAGAGGGGUAUUAGCCAAGUCAAAAUGGAUUGUCAGACUAGGCUCUUGUUUGUGUAACCUCCCACAUUCCUUGCACCGAGUCAACAUCUAGCCACCUGGGACAGGAGAAGGGAAUAACUUUUUUGUUUAGAAAAAAUAAAAUCAUGUAAAAAUCAUUUAAAUUUAUGUUUCUCUUUUAACAGAAGAAGUGUUUAAAAGGAAAACAUACCUUUUGGAGUGAAGCAUUUGUUUUUGUUCUUUAUAAGUACUUGUUUGAGUUCAUGUUUGUUAAAUGGCUUGUAGUUAUUCAAUCAUGGAGAUUUCCUUUGCUAACAUAAAAAUAGGUGUGAUUGAAAAAUUCAUAGCAGGAAAACAAAACUGCCUUUCACCCACUUGGACUCGCUUGACUUGAUGAGAUAUUUGUAAACCUUUAUAAGCACAUGUGACUUGUAAGCAUAUUUCUUUCAGAAAGGAAUACAAUUCAGACAUAACUUUCUCAAGAAGACACAUGAAGACUGAAGGAAUAAAUAAUACCACAAAUCAUGAGUCCACCCAAGGCCAAGUUCCCAAGUGCUGGUGCUUCCUGACAAUGGAAACUUGAAACACUUGAAUAAGAAAGGCAGAACUGCUUGGCUAGCAAAGGUGGAUUUUGAACAGCAAAUGUAAUUUCAUUUUCUGACCUGCCUCCUCAUGUAUACAAAUUCAGUAUCGUACAGUUAAGACCCCUUGGCUUUGCUAGACAGCAGGCAUGCCUUUAAAAUGGUAGGAACCUCUUGUCAGUGUACUUUUUUGUGAAAAUAAUGGUAUUGUGUUUUGUGCUGCACUGUCCUUGAUCCCAGUCAAAUGCCACGGGGAGAGGGAUAUUAGUUGGCUUGGGAUGACUUUGAGUCAGGUCCUGCUUAUGCCUUGUGCUAUGGGGUGACAUAUCUGAAACUUCCAUGGCUCUGUCCCCACUGCUCCAUAAGGGAGCAUAAAACACAGCACAGCUAGUUCACAUGCAAUUAUGCUGAUGAGUACAGAGGUAGGAGGAGGAAGGUGCAAAUGCCAGGAUGGAAAACUGACUUCAGCCCUCCAAUGUCACCAUGGCUUUCUGAGAGUCAGGGUUUACCAUGGAGUCCUCUGCAGCACAGGUGGCAGAAAUCUUCCACCGAAAAAGCAUCUGUUGGUGUCUGCAAAUAGCAUCUUUACAUGCCUGUUGAUGUCAUCCAAUUACCCAGCAGAAGUUUUCCCUAGAAAUCACUCUGCCAUUGGAGCUGAGAAAGUUUGAACAAUAAAUCCUGUUGGUGAAAUAGUCCUAACAUUUUGUUUUGCUAUCAUGCAUGUGGACAGAUUUACUAACUUGCAGAAUUCAGUACAUCAUAAUCAGUUUCUGGGUCAUUAAAGAGACUUGGCAAACUUUCACUGUACUUCAUAAUGUGGGUUUUUUGGGGGGGGGUUGUUGUUGUUUCAAGUGAAACCAGAGAGAGCGCCUUGUAUUUGUGUGUUUUGAAAUAUGAUUUAUUUCUUCUGUUUUCAGAAGUUAUCUUUGUUUUUGCAACCCACAUGGAAAAGAAGAGCCAGUGGAACUCCCUGAUCAUUAAAAAAAAACAAAACAACAACAACAAAAAAACCAAUUAUAGAAAUGUUCAAAGACACCAUAUGCCAUUCAUUUAAUUUUAAUUCAAGCUGUACUGUGUUAUGUUUUGCCUUCAGUAAUAACUUGGAAGAGUAUGAAUCAGCAGAGGCCAAGGAGCAAGGCUGUUGCCCUGACAUGGAAUAUUUUACUGUAGGACUCACAAACCACUUCAGUGGUGUGAAAAUCUUCCCAUACCUCUCAAGCUGUUGUGUUGUAUUGCACUGUAUUGUGCUUUGUUGUAUUGUGGAAGACCACAACAUAACACAUCUAUAACUUCCUGAUUUCUCCCUGCAUUGGACCAUCUAAAAAGUUGUUGGAAGUUCAGAAUCCUUUAUGUGUCUACUUUGGAGUCACAAGUCCUUAGUAAAUUCAUAUUCUUUCCUCCUUGUUGAUAAAUUACUAGUGUUUCAUAUGAAAAGACAUCUUAACUCUAACCUGGUGCUUUAGUAUUAGACUAGGAGAAAGAAAAGGAGUGAUGCACUAGAGACAGAGAAAAACUACAGAAGAGAAAAUGAUUUGGACUUUAGACAUUACUUAUAUUAAAUGACAGUACUUGUAUAUUUCAACUGCUAACUGCAAUGAGAGUAGUUGUUGGUUAACUUAAGUAGACGGUUGUUCAUAAAUUUAUCAGAGAAUUAUUCCUGUUGUCACAGUUUAAGCUCUACAAUCUUCUGAAAUAACUUUUAUACUUAGAUAAAGCUCAUUAACUAGAGGCACGCAUACAUUCAGGUCCAUCAGCAUCCUUCAGUGUUCAGCAUCUUCAAUCUUGGCUUGUAAGUGCCUAGCUCUAGGAAUGGAACAAAGAAAGCCAUCUUAGAGAUUAAGUUCCUUACCCAGUGAAUAAACAGAAAUCAGGAUAUGAAAAUAGUCUAAACUAUUACACAAUCACAUCCAUAAGAGCAAGUAAUGAAAAAUUGUUAAGAACUACAAAGAACUAUAAAUACAAAAUAUGUAGUAAAUGGAAAACAGAGUUACUCUGUAGUAUAGUCAACAAAUACACAGAGCAGUGUGGUCAGAUUAGUAUCCACAGAUUAUACAGCUAGAAAAAUUACCAUGUUGGAAAGGGAUAACCAGAAAUAAAUGGAAAAAGCUCACCCAUAUUGUAGGCUUGCAGGAAAAACUCCAAGAGGAGCAAUAUUCAGAGAGAGAUCAUCCCUCAGUGGCAGUCAGUCCUUAAAUGGGUCUAGGAGAGGUGAAGCCAGGCUCCACCCCUUUCCAGUCACACAGGUGAAUUGCCUUCACCUGUGCUCCUGCAGCUGACUCAGUGCUCGCCUCAGCUGAUUGGAGGUUCAGGCCGUGAUUCAGCAGUUCCCAUAAAUCUGUACACAUAUCCAGAAGGCUUACAUUUUUGAACAAGCUUUAUUGGGAAGUAGCUGGAUCACCGUUACUGAGGUCUUUCAAGUAGAGAUUAGACAGAAUCUAUGAAGGACAUGCUAGGCACACUAGAGCUUAAUUCAGAACGAGGCAGCACAUACUUAGUGGGAUGAAAUCAUAGAAUUGCAAUCCUGGAAAAGAUUUCAGAAGAUUAACUACAUUAGUCCUGUUGUGGACACGUUGGUAACACAUUUACAGUACAAAUUGGAUUGAGCCAUUUUUUUUAAAACACCAAUAUUAGAAAAUUUUGAUUGAUUAAAAAUUAAUGUCAUGUAUAUGGAACCACACUUUUGCCUUUGGCUUUCUUCAAAGCUAAAAGACUCAUGUACUAUUUGUACGCAUCUUCUAGGGUUGGUAGAUACUUUGCUCUACCCAGCAGUGUGAUUUCCAGUGUAACUAAAUUGAGGAGGAGAAUGCUGUCUGACUGAACAAUUAUAUAAACAAGAAAUAUUAAUAUGCAUUAAAAAUUUACUAAACUUCUGUCUACAAAAUUAUAAUUGCAGGCUAGACUGUCCUCUGCUAGUUGCUUAUGGACCAAAUGUCUCAUUGCAUCACUUUCAAAAGUAGUGUAUUUAUUUUGGGGCUCUGUGUUUCAGAUGAGUUCCACAUGUACUCCAGAUUUAACAAAUUCAUCAUUGGUGUUUUAUUAUGACUUGAAAUAACUUCACUAGGUCAUAUCCAGGGUUCUCAUUUGUUUUUCAUACCAUGGAUCACAUUUUAAUACCACGUCUUGUGUAUAUCUUCUCUUUCCAUUUUGCAAUUGUGAAAUGUACUUGCGGUGUGGAUAGUUAUUAAAUACAUGGAAAAGUUUGGAAACUAUUUCAUGUAGUUUUAGCUUCAAAACAGCUUAACAACUGGGACUAAGGAGAGCCAGCCCUGUAUGACUAGCCAGUUCUCCACCAUGGGCCAUUUCUGAGGACAUCUGUCAGUAUCAUUUUAUAGCAAUUCUAAUAUAUAAUAAUUCUAUAGCAAUUCUAAGUUGCCUGUGUGUAUUCAUUUUUUUAGAAGUUUUUUUAAAGGGUCCUACCUUCCUAAGCACUUGCUCUCUUUCUAUCUCUCUUUUUCUCUCUACUGAUGAGACCAAAGCUAG
rnacentral:lncRNA from 1 species